UACUAUGAAUAACUCAAUAUAAUAAACAAACAACUGUACAUUACAAAGAUUUUUAGAAAAUCAAAAUAGUGAACUUUGGGAUCAUUUAACUUAACUUAAACGAACAUAUAUACUGAGUGGAUGAGACUGCUUUUAGGUCCCUGUAUGUUGAGAAAAAUCUCAACAAAUAAAUUAUGAGAUGUAGAUAAUUAGCAAUAAGUAAACCUGUAUCUAGUAAUGAAGGUUAGUAACAAGCUAUGGGAGUAUCUUGUAUGGGCAUGUUUAAUGUAUUUCUAUGCUUACAUUCUGUUGUCUAACCGGAGCCUUUGGUCAUUAAAUUGAUAAACAAUAUUGAAUCUUACUAAUGCCCUUGUUCUCUUCUCUUUCCUGAAAAGAAAAUGCAAUUUCUAUGGACUGACACAUUUUAGUAUUCUAUUUUUCUUGUUGUCUCAGACGGUGUCUGUAGGGAGGCGUAAAUUCAGUGCAAAUUUUCAACUUGUCUUCCGACUAAUCAAGGGACUGAUAUUCCUCACUUUUGUUUCGAUUGUAGUCAUUUUGAUUGCCCUUCCGCAUAUGACAGUGCAGGACAUUUUUGUUUGCAUUCUUGCUUUCAUGCCAACUGGUUGGGGAAUGCUGCAGAUUGCUCAAGCAUUAAAACCUUUAGUACGGCGGGCUGGGUUUUGGGGAUCAGUGAAAACUCUUGCUCGAGG
rnacentral:sRNA from 1 species